UACGAAGGGGGCUAGCGUUGUUCGGAAUUACUGGGCGUAAAGCGCACGUAGGCGGACAUUUAAGUCAGGGGUGAAAUCCCAGAGCUCAACUCUGGAACUGCCUUUGAUACUGGGUGUCUUGAGUAUGGAAGAGGUGAGUGGAAUUCCGAGUGUAGAGGUGAAAUUCGUAGAUAUUGGGAAGAACACCGGUGGCGAAGGCGGCUAUCUGGACCGACAUUGACGCUGAGGCGCGAAAGCGUGGGGAGCAAACAGG
rnacentral:rRNA from 1 species